UAACGAAUAUUCCGCAAUGCGCGAAAGCGUGACGGAGCAAUGCCGCGUGUAGGAUGAAGCCCCUCGGGGUGUAAACAACUGUCAGGAGCUACCAAGUUCUGAGGAGCUCCAGAGGAAGGGCCGGCUAACUUCGUGCCAGCAGCCGCGGUAAUACGAAGGGCCCGAGCGUUAAUCGGAGUCACUGGGCUUAAAGGGUGCGCAGGCGGACCUGCAAGUAUCUCGUGAAAUACCACGGCUCAACCGUGGAAUUGCGGGGUAGACUGCAGGUCUUGAGCCCGGCAGGGGCCGUCGGAACUCUAGGUGGAGCGGUGAAAUGCGUAGAUAUCUAGAGGAACGCCAAAGGUGAAGACAGACGGCUGGGCCGGCGCUGACGCUCAGGCACGAAAGCGUGGGGAGCGAACGGGAUUAGAUACCCCCGUAGUCC
rnacentral:rRNA from 1 species